CCCAUUUUGUGCCUCACUUUCCCCAUUUUAUGCCUCAAUUUUCCUGAUCUUGUGCCUCUGUUUUCCUUUAUUUUACCUCAAUUCCCCAUUUUGUACCCCAAUUCCCCAAUAUUGUGCCUCAAUUCCCCAUUUUGUGCCCAAAUUUCCCCAUUUUGUGCCUCAAUUUCCCCAUUUGGUGCCUCAGUUUUUCCAUGUCGUUCCUUCAUUUUGACGUUGUGCCUCAGUUUCCCCACAUUGUGCCCCCAUUUUCCCAGUUUCCCUCCAUUUUUCUCCAUGUUGUGCCUCAUUUUCCCCAGGUAGUCCCUUUAUUUCCCCUCUUUGUGCCUCUGUUUCUCCACUUCGUCCCUCCAUUUUCCCACUUCGUGCCUCAUUUUCCCCACGUAGUUCCUUUAUUUCCCCAAUUUCCUUCUGCUGUGCCUCAGUUUCCCCUUUUUGUGCCCGUAUUCCCCAUUUUGUGCCUCAGUUUUCCCCAUGUAAUUCCUUAAUUUCUUUGUUGUUCCUCAGUUUCCCCACGUUGUGCCUCAUUUUCCUCAGGCAUUUCCUCAAUUUCCUCACGUCGUGCCCCAAUUGCCCCAUAUUGUGCCUCAGUUUCCCCCUUUUUCAUCUCAUUCUCCUUUUUGUGCCUCAGUUCCCCUUUUUACCCAAUUUCCCACUUUCUGUCCCUCAAUUUCCCUUUUUUUCCCCUCAUUCCCUUUUUUUCCUGUUUCCUCUUUUUUACCUCAUUCUCUUUUUUGUGCCUCAGUUUCCCCCCUUUUUCCCAUUUUCUGUGCCUCAAUUUCCCUUUUUCCCCCCUCAUUCCCUUUUUUUCCUCAUUCCCCUUUUUGUGCCUCAGUUUCCCCUUUUAACCCAAUUUCCCAUUUUUGUACCUCAGUUUCCCCCUCUUUCACCUCGUUCCCCCUUUUUGUGCCUCAGUUUCCCUUUUUACCCAAUUUCCCACUUUCUGUGCCUCAAUUUCCCUUUUUUUCCCCUCAUUCCCUUUUUUUUCCUGUUUCCCCUUUUUUUACCUCAUUCUCAUUUUUGUUCCUCAGUUUCCCCCCUUUUUCCCAUUUUCUGUGCCUCAAUUUCCCUUUUUUUCCCCCUCAUUCCCUUUUUUCCUUAUUUCCCUUCUUGUGCCUCAGUUUCCCUUUUUUACCCAAUUUCCCAUUUUUGUGCCUCAGUUUCCCCUUUUUACCCAAUUUCCCUCUUUCUGUGCCUCAAUUUCCCUUUUUCCCUUUUUUUUCCCGUUUCCCCUUUCUGUGCCUCAGUUUCCCCUUUUUUACCCAAUUUCCCAUUUUUGUGCCUCAGUUUCCCCUUUUUUACCUCAUUCCCUUUUUUACGCCUCAGUUUCCCUUUUUUUUACCUCCCCCCCUUUUUUAUGGCCGUUUCCCCUCGUGGCUCCGGGGGUGACCCCAAAAUCAGGUCCCUCCCCCNNNNNNNNNNNNNNNNNN
rnacentral:lncRNA from 1 species